AAGUGAAAUAAAUUAGUCCCUAAGUGAGAUGGUAACAGGGCAGGGUGAAACGAUAAAGACGAACGUUGUGAAGUUGGACGAGGAUGUGUACAAUGAUGGACGAGUAGGACCGCAGCCUACAUGUUUUCGUCUGCUCGGCGUCCAAACAGGCGAGGAGGAGCACGAAAUUGAGUCUGACCAGAACUUGUGGAAGUUGGGCAUGUCUGGUAUCCAACAACGCCGGCUUGUUUCCUCUGAUUCGACGAGUGCGAUUAUCUCUCCGUGUCACAGUGCAAGUGAUCAAUCCGCGGGGCUGUCGACUGGUCUUAACUACAGAGCGUCUCUCCACCCCCCUGCUGCGUGCCUCCCGUGCCCCCCAACCUGCCCCACCCCCCACCCCCCCCUUCGGCAUCACCUCCAGGGCUCACCUGAGCCUGUCGCUAACGCUACUCUGCUGCAGCCGCCAUCGCUGGGGGGGCCAUCCCGUUCUCCCGCCAUUGAACUGGCCUCUGAUCCCUGCAGCUCUCUGCCUUGGGGUGCUCAGGCUCCUCCGGGGGGGGGGGGGAGGGGGGAGAGACGGACGUCAUCCACCUGCUCUGGGCUGCCGCGGUGCGUUCUGUUCAGCCUAUUCAGCGCACUGCGGCGAUGACGUACGUCUGUUUUUAGUCAGAAAAAUCAGGACCGGCCGCAUAAACUCAUUCUGAGAAGUCUGAGAAUUGGGUACUAGACCAGUGCACUGGCAAAAACACUCAAGGGUCACUAUUGUGGGGUGGAGAUGAGGAGGGGGAGGGGGGUGCUUGAGUUCCACUGUUCACUGGCCCUGCCCUUUUACCAGAAAUGUUCCGCAGUACCGCAGCAUUCGCCACACUUCAAAGAGCUGUGGGAAGACAGAACAUUCUGUACGUAGUCAGCGUGUCACCCACACGCAACCAGGAAACCACAGCCGAGGACAGACGCAGACGCUCGACGGAGGGGUUGGCAUAACGAUGGCGUGCGUCGGGACGGUUCUUGUUUUUUGGUGACCUCAGCUUACCAUGCUUACAGGACAAUUGAGAUUUAUUAAUAAACGGAACACUGAUAUGCUUAUCAGGCCAUUGAAAAUAUGCACUGUAUGUGGAAAUAUGCACUGUGUGUGGAUAACAAUGUGGAUAAAUUAAAGUUUAACGUUUGUUAUUGUACUCCUAUCGGCAGCUUAUUCGCAUCCUUGUUCUGUAAUGAUGUAAGGAGCUAUGUGUGAAUAUAGACAGUAGGGUGAUUUGCUGAUAACUAUUGUCAUUUUACCUAGAAAUCUUAGAAAGUCAAUAGGACUGUGACUCGUAUUACAUUUAAAACACUGUUAGUUUUGUUUACUUUGUCUUGGAAAGUCCAUAAAAAUUACAAAAA